AGGAAAGGACGAUCUACUCCCCAAGAGAAGAGUCGAGAAAAGAGACGUUUUAGAUGGAGAGGAGCGUUGGAAUCCAGAUCUUAAAGCUGAAAUAGUCAAGGAAAAACACGAUUCUGAUUAUGAAGUAUUUAUCAUAGGGGACAAUCUUUGGCAUCCGAAAUUCAAAAGUGUCAGAGGCAUAGAAAAAGGCGAUCCUGAUCCACAAGUAUCAAGAGGAGAUACGGAAACACAGGGAGCGAUACAUUGAGAUGGCUUGUCAUAUUGACAGCUAUGACCAGUUACUGUCAUCAGCUGAAAAUAAAAUCCUGUCAACAAUAUCGAAGCUUGUCAAUAUUUGUUUUAUAAUUGGAAGUCAUAAUCUUUCUCAAAAUGUUCAUAAACGCCAUCUUCAAAGAUUUCAAAAUUGA